AAAUUUGGUUUCUGGACUUGAAGUAUGGCAGAAAAGAUAAAAUCGAAAAAUUGAAAAGGGAAGCUUGAGAUAUUGGAGCUUACUGGAUUCAUUUUUAGUUGUUGACAUUGUUGCAUUCAGAUAUUUUCGAAAUGGGGACUCAUCUCAACUUCAAGAACUUCCACAACAAUCCUACGUCGGACGCCGGUGUGGGAGGGGGUAGCGGCAGCCGACCUUCGGGGAACUUCCCAUUGGCCAGACAGCCAUCGGUCUACUCGUUGACCUUCGAUGAAUUUCAGAGUACUAUGGGGGGGAUAGGAAAGGAAUUUGGGUCAAUGAACAUGGAUGAGCUGCUCAAGAAUAUAUGGAGUGCCGAGGAAACACAGAACGUGGUAGCCUCCUCUACAGGUGCCCAAGAGGGUCUGCAGCGCCAAGGCUCUUUGACCCUCCCGCGAACCCUCAGUCAAAAGACUGUCGAUGAGGUGUGGAAAGACAUGUCGAAGGAAUAUGGGAAUGGAGGUGGUACUGGAGGAGCUAAUUUGCCUCAGAGGCAGCAGACUUUAGGGGAGAUCACUUUAGAGGAAUUUUUGGUCAAAGCGGGGGUGGUGAGAGAAGACGCUCAAUUAGCUGCAAAGCUUAAUGCUAAUGGUGGUUUUUUUGGUGAUUUAUCGAGGACAGGGAAUAGUUCUACUUUAGGAGUUGGGUUACAGCAGAAUAGGGGUC
rnacentral:lncRNA from 1 species